AAAUUUGAUUUUCUAUACUUAGAAAAUCAAAAAAUUUGAUUUCUAAACCAAUAAUUUAAACCCUAAAAAAACUAUACCUUUUUUUUUCAAAACCCCAAAAAUACCCCCAAACUAAAACUAUCUCUCUUUCUCUCUCUAUCUAGCCGGUCCCAAGAAUCCCACACCCCAGGUCCGAUGGUCGGACCAUGGGGUCCGAUGGGGUCCGACCAAUCGGACCCAUCGGACCCCAAGGUCCGACCAUCGGACCUCUCUCUUCCCUCUCUCUCAAAUCGCGGGAAAAAAAAAAAAAAUUAAAAGCCGGUCGGACCUUCGGGUCCGAUGGGUCCGAUGGUCGGACCCAUCGGACCCGAAGGUCCGACCAUCGGACCUCUUUCUUCCUCUCUCUCCAAAAUCGCAAAAAAAAAAAAAAAAAAAAAAAAAUUAAAAGACGGUCGGAC